GUGAUAUACUAAUAGAUAUCAAAGAAACUCAGAUUACGAAGAAAAUCAUAAUGAGAGUCUAAAGAAAGAAUGAAAGGAACAGUCAUGGGCAUACCUUCGAUCUAAUUAAAUUAUCGAGCACUUCGUUGAAGUAAAUUAUGACAACAAUGCACUUACUGGACCGCCGCAUCAAGCACACUUGAAUAUAUUUACGAUACCAUCGCCUGAUUCAUUCAACGUCAUCAGCAGAUCUCAUCUUAAAGGUUUCGUGAAUACGCAAUGGAACGCCGCGACGGUAGCACACGCAGCGAGUUAUUGUAUAAUCUCAAUAUUCUGUAGAGGUCUCCAAAUGGACGCAACGUCUGUUAUACAUACUCGCAACAACUGAACCACUUGUCACGGAUAUCCAAUACGAGCUACGACAAUACAGCUGGAACUAUAUUUCAAUGGAAGACUUUAGCUGCCGAUACCAACCUGAAGCCAAUUUCUUUGUUGUGUAUCGAGCUUAGCUACAACGACAGGUCACUGGGACGAUGUUACGCCAUUUUGUGGACUAUUUGCCCCUUUAUCACUCUCUUUAGCAUCAUAAGACACAAAUAAAUUAUUACAGAGACAAAGAGUUUAUUGUCUAUAUGGUUUAUUAACGCGCCAGCGUGUUGUGCACUAGUUAAAAAAGUGUGUCUAACUCUCGAAAUAGGAAUCCAUAAAUUUUUAUUUUAGAGCUUGACAUCUUUUAAUGAAUACUAGCAGUGUAUCUAAACCUAGGUAAAUCAACAACGCUGUGUUACUUUAAAUUGUAAUUGGAAUCAAAAUAACGAUGUCUGCGUCGCUAUUGCCCUUUGUACGACUAAUUCUGCCCUGGAGUCUACCUGUUUUACCUGAUUGCCUACAAUCUACCUACAGUGUGCGCUUGCUAACUGUAUCGUAGUUGCAUAAUGAGACUGGUACCUGCAUCACUAGGUGAACGUUAUGCUGCCUUGUCUGUAAUAGCGUAUAAUUGUAAAGAACAGCCUCAUUUCUCGUAAUACUUUCGUCGGUAUUUAUCACACCGGUUACGCAUGAGUCUAAUUGGAAGGUGUCACUGAGAGACCUAACUUAUUCAGCUAAGUUUCGUGGACAGAGACUAGGACUGCCGUCGCGAAGUUAGUAGGCACGUAGCAGCUUGAUGAUGGGCAUAUCUUUUUACAGCAGCUAUAUAUAUACACUCAGAAUAUAUAUAUAUGAGUUGCUCAUAGUAACCAUAGCAGCAUAUAUAACUUAGUUAGAAAUCACACAGGGCGCCAUUUGGCAUCGAAUAACAGCCGGAUGUGGUCGUGGUUGGCAAUAGAUUCUCGUGGCAGCUGAGCUACUAUUAGCAGCGAUCGUCAACGUAAGUGCGCUGGCAGCCAGGUCAGAAGGUGAUCCUGGUGAUGUGGUAGCAAUGGUCGACACACAGAUUUUCCGUCCAGUGUCUAGCUGGACCCUCUUUCCCUGUCCUAUGUAUAAGAAAUGCUUGAUAAUUUACUGGUUUUUCUAACUUAUGCUUUUUGGUGGGUAAAGAUGUUUGCAUUUUCUUGUAUCCCGAAGAUGAACAAAUACACUUAACAGUAAAUUUUGUCUUGACCUCUAGUCUAAACUCGCAGUCGAUACGCGUCCCGUUCACUCGGCACUGCUACUUCCCACGACUGCUUGUUACACGUAGCCGCUGGUGACAAGAUGAAUCAACCGGCAGCCUACCUGCUUGUACACGCCGUAUUAUAUUAUAUAUGGCUCAUUCGACGCCAACGAGUUAUUGCGUAUCUGGUGUGGGUGAGAACAUGGCUUGUAGCCUGGUGAAACAGGCGACACCUAGACUUCAUCGGCCGAUUUGUCAAUUUAGAUCAAAGCUUCUGUCCAGGUUGUUUUCGGGUUUGAGUCUCUGCUCUAUUCCUGCGUAUUUCUGCGUGUCUGUCAAUAGCAGAGUGCGGUUUCGGUACGGAGUCACUACGUAUGGUCUGUUGUAGUGUUCCGACUGACUGGCCUCUGGCUUCUUCUGCUCCCCCGCAAAGAAAGAAACAGCGGGGUACAAAAAUACGGUAUUGAAGCAAACCAUAUAGAGUUUUUUCCGCUGACAUUUCCGCCAGCUCAUGGUUGAUUAUUCAGUCCGAAGUGCAGAACGGUCGACGGGACAACGCCACCAUUACAAGCAAGAUCAGUGCAGAGUAAAGCAGGCCGGGGGUCGCUAGCUUUCAUUUUGCCUUUCAGCAAAAGAGCAAACAAGCAGCUCUCUGUUUCCUUCAAGCCCUUUCCCUCAACACUCGUAGUCUAUAUCACCAACUACGCAUUUCGACGCCUAUUUCAAGAUGAUUUCUCCGAUUCCAUCUCGCCUUUGUCCCCUCAUCUUCCCUUCUCCUGCCGCCGUUGCCCGGAGAACAGAUUGGAGACGCAAGACUGCAGAUGCUGGGCCUAUGGUCUGAAAUUGCAGUAGGGCCACGUUGAUGAAACAGUCAGCUAGGCAGGCAUUGACAUUUUGAUGGUGAUAAGGAUGAGACGUUGCACCGGGAGCCGGUUUGUCGCCACCCGAAACAAACAUCUAGGACCAUAAGAAUGAGAGCGCUAUUGUGGAAAGUGCAGCAGCUAAAAAAUGAAACAGAGGAUGGCUGGUGAUGUACGAGAAAGAGUAUGUUGGUUUCUCCCUUCUCAUUCUAUCGCAUUGAAAUUGUAUCGUUAGCUUCAGGGAAAGCACACUCUAGCCACGAUAGUCAAAAUUUCACGUAAACUGAUGGCCACACAUGGCAUAUCUAAAAAGGCUCUGUGUCUGACAUUUACUCUGGUGAAUACAAUACGAGUGAGAAAGUACUGAUAUUGGAGCAAUGUUGGAGCCGGGUUAAAGUGUCUAAAAGCGUUUUAUGAUAAAAAAAAAAAAAAUCGCCUCCUACUAUUCGGACGGAACAAAGAAAGAUUCCGUAUUUCAUUACAGCGCCACUAACAGCGCGUAACGUAAAAAAAGCAAACCGAGUUCCUUCUUUUUGAUGCAAAUCUAUGUUAUAUUCGUGUAUGCGUGUCCUACAUUCUAUUCAUACAUAGU
rnacentral:lncRNA from 1 species